rnacentral:rRNA from 1 species
UACAGAGGGGGCAAGCGUUGUUCGGAAUUACUGGGCGUAAAGGGCGCGUAGGCGGCCCGCUAAGUCGAACGUGAAAUCCCCGAGCUCAACCACGGGAACUGCGUCCGAUACUGGUGGGCUUGAAUCCGGGAGAGGGAUGCGGAAUUCCAGGUGUGAGCGGUGAAAUGCGUAGAUAUCUGGAGGAACAUCGGUGGCGAAGGCGGCAUCCUGGACCGGUAUUGACGCUGAGGCGCGAAAGCCAGGGGAGCAAAGCGGG